GCCGACCACAGCAGGUGGUAGAGAUGGAUGAUAUCCUGGCAGCUGCUGACAUCAAUGUAUUCGUAAUAGCCUCCAGAGAUCUCCACACGGCUGGAUGGGGAAAGGAGGAGGACACACACACACAGACAUCAGUCUCCCAGAAGUACCCUAGGGUGUCUUAUAGGCAUGGGGAUCGAAUGGCCCAAUGGAUAAAAAGCACAGGGGGAUGUCCUGGAAAUAAAAGCAUUUUGGAAAGAAGACACUCUAUCCAUCCAAGCUUGGUGCACCUACUGCCUACUUACUUAAGUAUGCCGGUGCUUGGUACUGCUAAUGGAGGUAGCCAUGUUUCUAUCCCUAAGGAUGGAGUACUUCCAGGGCAGCCAGCACAAUGGCUCGGCGCUACGGGGGACCAAAGAGCCAAGAAGGUAGCAAGGGCUUCCUCUUUAGAGGAGGCAGGACUAAUACACAUAUAACAAUUGGAGAGCAAGGAAUGGUACCUGGAAUCAAAUGGAACGCUCCGGACCGGAGUACAGUGGAAAGGAUGCUGGAUUGGGGAGCCAUUUACUCAUUUGGGGUCUUACUUUUCCCAUCUGGAAAAUGAGGGAGAUGUACUAGAUCAUAGUUGUCGAACACUCAGUCUGGGCCUGGAUGGUCCCAGUGCUGCCUGAAGCAGGUUAAAAUGUAACUGGGCAAUACUGAACAAAACAAAUAAAAAAAGAAUAAGACA